rnacentral:rRNA from 1 species
GACGAACGCUGGCGGCGUGCCUAAUACAUGCAAGUUGAGCGCUGAAGGUUGGUACUUGUACCAACUGGAUGAGCAGCGAACGGGUGAGUAACGCGUGGGGAAUCUGCCUUUGAGCGGGGGACAACAUUUGGAAACGAAUGCUAAUACCGCAUAAAAACUUUAAACACAAGUUUUAAGUUUGAAAGAUGCAAUUGCAUCACUCAAAGAUGAUCCCGCGUUGUAUUAGCUAGUUGGUGAGGUAAAGGCUCACCAAGGCGAUGAUACAUAGCCGACCUGAGAGGGUGAUCGGCCACAUUGGGACUGCGACACGGCCCAACCUCCUACGGGAGGCAGCAGUAGGGGAUCUUCGGCAAUGGACGAAAGUCUGACCGAGCAACGCCGCGUGAGUGAAGAAGGUUUUCGGAUCGUAAAACUCUGUUGGUAGAGAAGAACGCUGGUGAGAGUGGAAAGCUCAUCAAGUGACGGUAACUACCCAGAAAGGGACGGCUAACUACGUG